rnacentral:sRNA from 1 species
GGGUGCAGUGGUGUACGCCUGAAAUCCCAGCUUCUUGGGAGAAUGAGGCAGGAGGAUUAUGAGUUCAAAGCCAGCCUCAGCAACUUACCAAGGCCCUGAGCAACUCAGGAGACCCUGUCUCUA